CGCACCUCUCCCUGGUUCCUCUCCGGUUUCCGGCCGCCGCUGGUUCACCGCCGUUCGCCCCCAGUCGACGCUCGUGCUCUGUUUUCCGGCCACCUCUGCCAGCCUCCGUUCCCUCUUCCUUCCUUCCCAUUUUUCAGUUCUGUUUCGGGACACCAGUUUUCGAAAGGCUAGUCGACUCCCUUCAUAGCAUCUGAUUCCUAUACCUCAGCAAGAUGCCUAGAACGAGACCGCCUAGACGACCAUUGACCAGCAGUGGACGGGGUUCCAUCCCUCCACCCAUGUUGGGCACGUUUGAGGUAGUGGAGUCAGAUAUUAUAAGUUACGGUAUUGUAUUAAUUAGCGAGUUUAUUCGGAUUUAAGAUUUAUGGUAUUGUAAUAUUCAGGUGACUUAAAUCAUACUUAAACCUGGCCAGAUCCUAGUCAGGGGUUGUAUUAUUA